GAGUUUGAUCAUGGCUCAGAUUGAACGCUGGCGGCAGGCCUAACACAUGCAAGUCGAGCGGAUGAGAAGAGCUUGCUCUUCGAUUCAGCGGCGGACGGGUGAGUAAUACCUAGGAAUCUGCCUGGUAGUGGGGGACAACGUUUCGAAAGGAACGCUAAUACCGCAUACGCCCUACGGGGGAAAGCAGGGGACCUUCGGGCCUUGCGCUAUCAGAUGAGCCUAGGUCGGAUUAGCUAGUUGGUGAGGUAAUGGCUCACCAAGGCGACGAUCCGUAACUGGUCUGAGAGGAUGAUCAGUCACACUGGAACUGAGACACGGUCCAGACUCCUACGGGAGGCAGCAGUGGGGAAUAUUGGACAAUGGGCGAAAGCCUGAUCCAGCCAUGCCGCGUGUGUGAAGAAGGUCUUCGGAUUGUAAAGCACUUUAAGUUGGGAGGAAGGGUACUUACCUAAUACGUGAGUAUUUUGACGUUACCGACAGAAUAAGCACCGGCUAACUCUGUGCCAGCAGCCGCGGUAAUACAGAGGGUGCAAGCGUUAAUCGGAAUUACUGGGCGUAAAGCGCGCGUAGGUGGUUCGUUAAGUUGGAUGUGAAAUCCCCGGGCUCAACCUGGGAACUGCAUCCAAAACUGGCGAGCUAGAGUAGGGCAGAGGGUGGUGGAAUUUCCUGUGUAGCGGUGAAAUGCGUAGAUAUAGGAAGGAACACCAGUGGCGAAGGCGACCACCUGGGCUCAUACUGACACUGAGGUGCGAAAGCGUGGGGAGCAAACAGGAUUAGAUACCCUGGUAGUCCACGCCGUAAACGAUGUCAACUAGCCGUUGGAAUCCUUGAGAUUUUAGUGGCGCAGCUAACGCAUUAAGUUGACCGCCUGGGGAGUACGGCCGCAAGGUUAAAACUCAAAUGAAUUGACGGGGGCCCGCACAAGCGGUGGAGCAUGUGGUUUAAUUCGAAGCAACGCGAAGAACCUUACCAGGCCUUGACAUGCAGAGAACUUUCCAGAGAUGGAUUUGUGCCUUCGGGAACUCUGACACAGGUGCUGCUUGGCUGUCGUCAGCUCGUGUCGUGAGAUGUUGGGUUAAGUCCCGUAACGAGCGCAACCCUUGUCCUUAGUUACCAGCACGUUAUGGUGGGCACUCUAAGGAGACUGCCGGUGACAAACCGGAGGAAGGUGGGAAUGACGUCAAGUCAUCAUGGCCCUUACGGGCUUGGGCUACACACGUGUACAAUGGUCGGUAAGAGGGUUGCCAACCCGCGAGGUGGAGCUAAUCUCACAAAACCGAUGGUAGUCCGGAUCGCAGUUUGCAACUCGACUGCGUGAAGUCGGAAUCGCUAGUAAUCGCGAAUCAGAAUGUCGCGGUGAAUACGUUCCCGGGCCUUGUACACACCGCCCGUCACACCAUGGGAGUGGGUUGCACCAGAAGUAGCUAGUCUAACCUUCGGGAGGACGGUUACCACGGUGUGAUUCAUGACUGGGGUGAAGUCGUAACAAGGUAGGCGUAGGGGAACCUGCGGCUGGAUCACCUCCUUA
rnacentral:rRNA from 1 species